rnacentral:rRNA from 1 species
AGCGAACGCUGGCGGCAGGCUUAACACAUGCAAGUCGAGCGGGCACUUUCGGGUGUCCGCGGCGGACGGGUGCGUAACGCGUGGGAACGUGCCCUCUGGUUCGGAAUAACUCAGGGAAACUUGAGCUAAUACCGGAUACGCCCUUUUGGGGAAAGGCUUGCUGCCGGAGGAUCGGCCCGCGUCUGAUUAGCUAGUUGGUGAGGUAACGGCUCACCAAGGCGACGAUCAGUAGCUGGUCUGAGAGGAUGAUCAGCCACACUGGGACUGAGACACGGCCCAGACUCCUACGGGAGGCAGCAGUGGGGAAUAUUGGACAAUGGGCGCAAGCCUGAUCCAGCCAUGCCGCGUGAGUGAUGAAGGCCUUAGGGUUGUAAAGCUCUUUUAUCCGGGACGAUAAUGACGGUACCGGAGGAAUAAGCCCCGGCUAACUUCGU